rnacentral:rRNA from 1 species
GAUGAACGCUAGCGGCGUGCCUAAUACAUGCAAGUCGAGCGAACAGAUGAGGAGCUUGCUCCUCUGACGUUAGCGGCGGACGGGUGAGUAACACGUGGAUAACCUACCUAUAAGACUGGGAUAACUUCGGGAAACCGGAGCUAAUACCGGAUAAUAUAUUGAACCGCAUGGUUCAAUAGUGAAAGACGGUUUUGCUGUCACUUAUAGAUGGAUCCGCGCCGCAUUAGCUAGUUGGUAAGGUAACGGCUUACCAAGGCAACGAUGCGUAGCCGACCUGAGAGGGUGAUCGGCCACACUGGAACUGAGACACGGUCCAGACUCCUACGGGAGGCAGCAGUAGGGAAUCUUCCGCAAUGGGCGAAAGCUUGACGGAGCAACGCCGCGUGAGUGAUGAAGGUCUUCGGAUCGUAAAACUCUGUUAUUAGGGAAGAACAAAUGUGUAAGUAACUAUGCACGUCUUGACGGUACCUAAUCAGAAAGCCACGGCUAACUACGUG